GGUGCCAUCAGAGGCCUGGGUGGUCUGACCACCCCAGGUUCUGAUUAAAGGCCACCCAGGGAGAUGCCAGCCACGUGGCAGUGAACCUGCUGCGAUGCUACAGCCUACCUGUUCUCCCCAGCUUCUGUCUCCAGCCACCCCUCCCCAGCAUCUACUACUGACCACCCCCCGGGUUAAGCUCUUCACACACGUUUAUAGGAAUCUCCUUUCUCUGCUGCCCGAGAGGCAGUCUCCCCGGCUCCCAGAACUCUGAGGUCAGCUCAAUUCCGUCUCCUCCCAGGAGGCCUCCCCAGUCAGUGUACUUGUCACUCAUUAUGGACUAUUUUUGUAUUGACCCUCAAGGGCUAUCCGGUGAGUCACCUUCCUUCCUGAGCAGCAGGGACCCCUCCGUGUGAGCCAGGCACAAAGCAGGCACUCGCUGAGCAGCUGUGAGACCUUCAGGCCUGAUCUAAGAGCACCCUCCAAACCCACCUGGCAUGAAGGGGGAAAUGGAGCAUGAGGAGCUGGAUCAAACUGUUGGGGCAAAGCACUGCAGGAGAGACCAUCAACUACAGGAACUGACAGGGGAAAAAGGGAUUAAGAACCGACUCAGAAGCAGGAAUUCUGAGCUAGAAGAGAACCACUUUAUAACCAGCUUAGAAGACCUGGAUGGAACUGGAAAGACAGGCACGAGGAACUCAUUGUCAUGGGACAAAUGAACUACUUCCUUCAGCAGAGAGGAACCAGCAGGCCCAGAGAAGACAGAAGCAGAGGGCUUCCCUGGUGGCGCAGUGGUUGAGAAUCCGCCUGCCGAUGCAGGGGACACGGGUUCAUGCCCCGGUCUGGGAAGAUCUCACAUGCCACAGAGCGGCUGGGCCCGUGAGCCAUGGCCGCUGAGCCUGCACGUCCGGAGCCUGUGCUCCGCAAAGGAAGAGGCCACAACAGUGAGAGGCCCGCGUACCGCAAAAAAAAAAAAAAAAAAGAAAACAGAAGCAGAGAAAAUACUUCUUAACUCUUUUUAUGAGGUCAGCAUUACCCUAACACCAAAACCAGACAAUGACUACACAAGAAAAGAAAAUUACAGACCAAUAUCUCUCAUGAACAUACAUGCAAAAAUCCUUAAUAAAAUACAAGCAAAUUGAAUUCAACAAUAUAUAAAAAGAAUUAUACACUACAACCAAAUGGAGUUUAACCCAGGUAUGUAAAACUGAUUCAACAUUUGAAAAUCAAUGUAAUCCAUCACAUCAACAAACUAAAGAAGAAAUAUCACAUGAUAUCAACAGAUGCAGAAAAAAACAUUUGACAGAAUCAAAGACCCAUUCAUGAUGGAAACUCUCAGCAAACUAGGAAGAGAGGGAAACUUCCUCAACUUCAUAAAUAACAUCAACAAAAACCCUACAGCUAACAUCAUACUUAAUGGUGAGAAACUAGAAGCUUUCCCACUAAGAUCAGGAACAAGGUAAGGAUGUUCCCUCUUACCAUGAGUUUUCCACAUUGUACUAGAAGUCCUAACUAAUGUAAUAAGACAAGAAAAGGAAAUGAAAGGUGUACAGUUUGGGAAAGAAGAAAUAAAACUCCCUUUAUCUGUAGAAGACAUGAUUGUCUAUGUAGAGAAUGCAAAAGCAUUGAAAAAAAAAUUCCUGGAACUAAUAAUCAGUUAUAGCAAGACUGCAGAGUAUAAGGUUAAUACACAAAAGUCAAUCAUUUCAUAUAUAACAGCAAUGAAUAGGUGGAAUAUGAAAUUAAAAACAAUACCAUUUACCUUAGCACCUUCAAAAAUAAAAUACUUAGGUAUAAAUCUAACAAAAUAUGUACAAGGUUUAUAUGAAGAAAACUACAAAACUACAAAACUCUGAUAAAUGAAAUCAAGAAAGAAGUAAAUAAAUGGAGAGAUAUCCCCAUGUUCAUGGAUAAGAAAAUACUGUCAAGAUGUCCACUCUUCCCAACUUGAUCUAUAGAUUCAAGGCAAUCCCAAUCAAAAACCCAGCAAGUUAUUUUGUGGCUAUCAACAAACUGAUUCUAAUGUUUAUAUGGAGAGGGAAAAACCCUGAAGAGCCAACACAAUAUUGAAGGGAAAGAACAAAGUUGGAGGACUGACAUUACCCAACUUCAAGACAGUACGGUAUUGGUAAAAGAACAGACAAAUCAAUGGAACAGAAUAGAGAGCCCAGAAAUAGUCCCACACAAAUACAGUCAACUGAUCUUUGACAAAGGAGCAAAGGCAAUACAAUGGAGCAAAGACAGUCUUUUCAACAAAUGGUACUGAAACAACUGGAUAGCCACAUGCAAAAAAAGGAACCUAGACAUAGACUUUACACCCCUCACAAAAAAUAACUCAAAAUAGAUCACAGACCUAAAUGUAAAAUUCAAAACUAUAAAACUCCUAGAAGAUAAUAUAGGGGAAAACCAAGAUGACCUUGGGUAUGCCAAUGACUUCAGAUAUAACACCAAAGGCAGGAUCCAUGAAAGAAAUAAUUGAUAGGCUGGACUCAUUAAAAUUAAAACCUUCUGCUCUGUGAAAGCCAAUGUCAAGAGAGUGAGAAGACAAGAUACAGAUUGGGAGAAAUUAUUUGCAAAAGACAGAUCUGAUAAAGGACUGUUAUCCAAAUACACAAAGAACUCUUAAAACUCAGCAAUAAGAAAACAAACAACCUGAUUAAAAUAUGUGCCAAAGUUGUUAACAGACACCUCACCAAAGAAGAUACACAACUGGAAAAUAAGUAUACGAAAAGAUGCUCUACUCUACAUGUCAUUAGAGAUAUGCAAAUUAAAACAACAGUGAAAUACUACUAUACACCUAUUAGAAUGGCUCAAAUCCAGAACACUGACACCACCAAACGCUGGAGAGAAUGUGGAGCAACAAAUGAACGCUCAUUCACUGCUGGUUGGAACGCAAAAUGAUACAGCCACUUUGAAGACAGUUUGACAAUUUCUUACAUAACCAAAUAUACUCUUACUAUGUGAUCCAGAAAUCGCAUUCCUUGGUAUUUACCCAAAGGAAGUGAAAACUUACGUCCACACUAAAACCUGCACAUGAAUGUUUACAGCAGCGUAAUUCAUAGUUGCCAAAACUUGGAAACAACCAAGAUGUCCUUCAGUAGGUGAACGGAUAAAUAAACUAUUGGUAUAGCCAGACAAUGAUGGUAUGUUGUUAUUCUGCACUAAAAAAAAAACCAAAACAAAACUAUCAGGCCAUGAAAAGGCACAGAGGAAAUUUAAAUGUAUAUACUAAGUGAAAAGGCCAAUCUGAAAAGACUACAUACUGAAUGAUUUCAACUUUAUGA